CGAAGCGGUGACGUGGAGCAAACCUCAGAAAGCCAAUCUCAGUUCGGAUUGUAGGCUGCAACUCGCCUACAUGAAGUUGGAAUCGCUAGUAAUCGCGAAUCAGAAUGUCGCGGUGAAUACGUUCCCGGGUCUUGUACACACCGCCCGUCACACCACGAGAGUUUACAACACCCGAAGUCAGUGGCCUAACCGCAAGGAGGGAGCUGCCUAAGGUGGGGUAGAUGAUUGGGGUGAAGUCGUAACAAGGUAGC
rnacentral:rRNA from 1 species